rnacentral:rRNA from 1 species
CCUANGGGUGGCUGCAGUCGAGAAUCUUCGGCAAUGGGCGAAAGCCUGACCGAGCGACGCCGCGUGUGGGAUGAAGGCCCUUGGGUUGUAAACCACUGUCAGAGGGGAUGAAGUGCAUGUGAGUUAUCUCAUGUGUUUGACAUAGCCUCAGAGGAAGCACGGGCUAAGUUCGUGCCAGCAGCCGCGGUAAUACGAACUGUGCAAACGUUAUUCGGAAUCACUGGGCUUACAGGGUGCGUAGGCGGCUUGUUAAGCAGGGUGUGAAAUCCCUCGGCUCAACCGAGGAAUUGCGCCCUGAACUGGCGAGCUGGAGUGGGACAGAGGUGCGCGGAACUUCCAGUGGAGCGGUGAAAUGUGUUGAUAUUGGAAGGAACGCCGGAGGCGAAAGCGGCGCACUGGGUCUCAACUGACGCUGAGGCACGAAAGCCAGGGGAGCAAACGGGAUUAGAUACCCGGNUANUC